ensembl:lncRNA COL4A2-AS2 COL4A2 antisense RNA 2
AGACACACAGAGAGGACAGAUGAUGAGAAGACAGAGAGAAGACAGCCGUCUAUAAGCCAAGGAAUGCCAGAGCUCCGGGAACCUGGGAGAGAGGCAGGGACAGAUCCUCCCGCACUGUCUCAGAAGGAACCAGCCCUGCAGACACCUUGAUGUCGGCUUUCAGCCUCCAGAGCUGUGAGACCAUACAUUUCUGAUGUCUAAGCUGCCCAGUCUGUGGCAGUUUGUGACCUCAGCCCCAGGAAACCAGUACAAAGAGCUUAAGGAGCUGAACCCAGGGAGUUGGGCAGCAAGGCAGCACCAUGCUGGCGGCAGGGGUUGGCUCCCCCAGGGCACAGAGGAUGCCCAGUGGGGAGGCCCCACUUCCUCCAGGUCCUGCGGUGCCUGCUCUCAGGUCAUGCCCAUCCACAGCGGGGUGCUGAAUGCACUGCACAUCCUACAUACGCCAAAACGGCCAAGACGUGCACAGGACUCAGCAUCAGGCUCACUGCUGCUAGGAAGUGCCACCGCCAAGGGGACAGGAGGCUGGGAGAGACAUGCAGGCUCAUUUUCAUGUCCAAACACCCCAAACAGGAAGCCUAGAGAGACAACCACAGAUGCAGGGCAUGAGCCCCACGGACGCCUGGGGUCCCACGCAGACGCAGGGCAUCAGCCCCACGGACGCCUGGGGUCCCACGCAGACGCAGGGCAUCAGCCCCACGGACGCCUGGGGUCCCACGCAGACGCAGGGCAUCAGCCCCACGGACGCCUGGGGUCCCACGCAGACGCACGGCAUCAGCCCCACGACGCCUGGGGUCCCACGCAGAUGCACGGCAUCAGCCCCACGGACGCCUGGGGUCCCACGCAGACGCAGGGCAUCAGCCCCACGGACGCCUGGGGUCCCACGCAGACGCAGGGCAUCAGCCCCACGGACGCCUGGGGUCCCACGCAGACGCAGGGCAUGAGCCCCACGGACGCCUGGGGUCCCACGCAGACGCAGGGCAUCAGCCCCACGGACGCCUGGGGUCCCACGCAGACGCACGGCAUCAGCCCCACGGACGCCUGGGGUCCCACGCAGACGCAGGGCAUCAGCCCCACGGACGCCUGGGGUUCCACGCAGACGCAGGGCAUCGGCACCAUGGGUGCCCGGCAUCCCACCCAGUUGUGAGGCACCAGCAUCAAGGAUGCCCAGGGUCCCCCCAGACACAGGGCAUGGGCACCACAGAGACGCCUGGUGUCCCACCCAGCCCAGGGUGGCUUUCAGCCAAGCCUCCCCAAAUGAUCCAUAAACCCAAUUUCAUAAACAAAAGCACAUUUUUUCAAAAGAAAACUUAGACUAUUUUGUGGCGAUAGCCUUCAGGGUUGGAAAGAAAUAUAAGAGUCUGCAAAUUUAGUUUUUCCAUUAAACUAUAGGGAUAACAAUUAUUCCUUUUGAGAAACAUUGAGUCCAAAGAAAAGUUUUGAUUUUUUGAUCAUGUAACUUGGAUUCCAAGACUGCUACACACUUCUGGUUCCCCCCCAAAAAACUAAAAAAAAGAUGAACUCA